ACAAGACAGACAACUAAAAAUAACAGAUACAGACAACUAAAAACAACAAUACAGACUUGGACAAUACAUGAACAAUCAAUGUGUGCAAGUGUAACUGUUGAGAAGGAACAGUUUGUAUGCCUUUUUGAAAUGUGUGAUGGAUGGUAGUGUUCUGAUGUGGUGGGGAAUGUUAUUCCAAAUUUUGGUGUAUCUAUAAAAAAUGAUUUUUGACCAUAGUUGUUUUUGUAUGAGGGAACUGGAAUGAAUGCCUGUGAGACUGACCUAGUGAGGUGUACUGGUCUCAUAUUGUGUGUUGGGAGAAGUGCAGCAAGUGCUGGUAAGGUGCCAUUUUGAAUCUGAAAGUAAAAUGCAAUAGCGUGGCUGUUUGUGUAGUUCUGGUAAAUCAGAGCGUUUGAGCGUGCGAGUGCAAUGCAAUGGUGAGACCACUUUGGAAGAUUACUGUGGAUCUUGAGAGCUCUAUUGUAUAGUCGUGCUAUUGGUUCAGUAAUUUCCUUAGUGGUAAGA